GAUGAUCGCUGGCGGCGUGCCUAAUACAUGCAAGUCGAGCGAACGGACGAGAAGCUUGCUUCUCUGAUGUUAGCGGCGGACGGGUGAGUAACACGUGGAUAACCUACCUAUAAGACUGGGAUAACUUCGGGAAACCGGAGCUAAUACCGGAUAAUAUUUUGAACCGCAUGGUUCAAAAGUGAAAGACGGUCUUGCUGUCACUUAUAGAUGGAUCCGCGCUGCAUUAGCUAGUUGGUAAGGUAACGGCUUACCAAGGCAACGAUGCAUAGCCGACCUGAGAGGGUGAUCGGCCACACUGGAACUGAGACACGGUCCAGACUCCUACGGGAGGCAGCAGUAGGGAAUCUUCCGCAAAGGGCGAAAGCCUGACGGAGCAACGCCGCGUGAGUGAUGAAGGUCUUCGGAUCGUAAAACUCUGUUAUUAGGGAAGAACAUAUGUGUAAGUAACUGUGCACAUCUUGACGGUACCUAAUCAGAAAGCCACGGCUAACUACGUG
rnacentral:rRNA from 1 species